AUUGAACGCUGGCGGCAUGCCUUACACAUGCAAGUCGAACGGUAACAGGCCGCAAGGUGCUGACGAGUGGCGAACGGGUGAGUAAUGCAUCGGAACGUGCCCAGUAGUGAGGGAUAGCCCGGCGAAAGCCGGAUUAAUACCGCAUACGACCUGAGGGUGAAAGGGGGGGAUCGCAAGACCUCUCGCUAUUGGAGCGGCCGAUGUCAGAUUAGCUAGUUGGUGGGGUAAAGGCCUACCAAGGCAACGAUCUGUAGUUGGUCUGAGAGGACGACCAGCCACACUGGGACUGAGACACGGCCCAGACUCCUACGGGAGGCAGCAGUGGGGAAUUUUGGACAAUGGGCGCAAGCCUGAUUCAGCGAUGCCGCGUGCAGGAAGAAGGCCUUCGGGUUGUAAACUGCUUUUGUCAGGGAAGAAAUCUUCUGGGUUAAUACCUCGGGAGGAUGACGGUACCUGAAGAAUAAGCACCGGCUAACUACGUGCCAGCAGCCGCCGUAAAAC
rnacentral:rRNA from 1 species